rnacentral:rRNA from 1 species
UACAGAGGUCUCAAGCGUUGUUCGGAUUCAUUGGGCGUAAAGGGUGCGUAGGCGGCGCGGUAAGUCGGGUGUGAAAUCUCGGGGCUUAACUCCGAAACUGCAUUCGAUACUGCCGUGCUUGAGGACUGGAGAGGAGACUGGAAUUUACGGUGUAGCGGUGAAAUGCGUAGAUAUCGUAAGGAAGACCAGUGGCGAAGGCGGCUAUCUGGACAGAGUCUGACGCUGAGGCGCGAAAGCUAGGGGAGCAAACAGG